rnacentral:rRNA from 1 species
AGCGAACGCUGGCGGCAGGCCUAACACAUGCAAGUCGAACGGACUCUUCGGAGUUAGUGGCGGACGGGUGAGUAACACGUGGGAACGUGCCUUUUGGUUCGGAAUAACUCAGGGAAACUUGUGCUAAUACCGCAUGUGCCCUUCGGGGGAAAGAUUUAUCGCCAUUAGAGCGGCCCGCGUCUGAUUAGCUAGUUGGUGAGGUAACGGCUCACCAAGGCGACGAUCAGUAGCUGGUCUGAGAGGAUGACCAGCCACACUGGGACUGAGACACGGCCCAGACUCCUACGGGAGGCAGCAGUGGGGAAUCUUGCGCAAUGGGCGAAAGCCUGACGCAGCCAUGCCGCGUGAAUGAUGAAGGUCUUAGGAUUGUAAAAUUCUUUCACCGGGGACGAUAAUGACGGUACCCGGAGAAGAAGCCCCGGCUAACUUCGUG